UACGUAGGGUGCAAGCGUUAAUCGGAAUUACUGGGCGUAAAGCGUGCGCAGGCGGCUUUGCAAGACAGAUGUGAAAUCCCCGGGCUCAACCUGGGAACUGCAUUUGUGACUGCAAGGCUAGAGUACGGUAGAGGGGGAUGGAAUUCCGCGUGUAGCAGUGAAAUGCGUAGAUAUGCGGAGGAACACCGAUGGCGAAGGCGGCUCACUGGCCCGAUACUGACGCUGAGGCACGAAAGCGUGGGGAGCAAACAGG
rnacentral:rRNA from 1 species